UUCAGUUGGUCAUCUUAUGUCUUUCAGUUUGUCAUAUUAUUUGUUUUCUUUUGUUGUAGAACUAUAUCAAUUGGAUGUGUGCUGAGAAGGUAAAAAAGGUUAAGGUUGAUAGUGAGAUUGCUGAAAAUGAGAUUAUUUUGAAAAAGCUGGAGGGCACUAAUCAGUAUGAUCAGAAGUUGAAGGAAUUGGAAGAAAAGAAGAAAAAGCUGGUUACAAAAGAUGAUGAUUUAUACUACAAGAAAUGUAAGGAAGCUAUUUCUUCAUGGGUGAAAUCAUUUCCUAGGGAAUGAUAUUCGAGAAGCUGAACUGAUUUUUGUUCCUGUUCACAAGGAUGAUCAUUAUACUGUCUUGGUGCUGAACAAGAAAGCUAAAAGGAUUGAAAAUAUUGACAAUCGUACAGACAUGAAGGAUAUUGAUAGAUAUAAGCAUGAGGAAUUUAACGGUCUUACAUACUUUAUACGUACCUUUUUAUGAGCAUUUGUAUUUUGUUUUUGUUCCAUUUUAUUACUUGUUUUUUAAUUGUUGUUUACUUUUUGAUCUUCAAAUGCAGUGUCGUGCUUUUGAUUCUUUUAUGCAAGUUAAUAUGAGAUGUCGUGAUUUUGAUCAUCUCCACCAUUGGCAAACAUCAACUCUUUAUUUCCCUUGGAGAAGCAAGGACAACAAUUUUGAUUGUGGUGUCUAUGCAAUCAAAACCAUGGAGUUGUAUGAUGGUCAAAAUACUAACCAUUUUGCACUUGUUGACGUGAAAAGGGCAGCCACCAAAAACCUUGAGUGGUGCAGGCUUGCGCUUCGUCUUGUGGACCAUCCUUUAAACAAACCGAGAGAGAAAGUGAAGCAUGACUGUUAUGUUUGGUCUGCAAACAAACUCAACUAAUGGCAAGACAGAAGUUAAGGAAGGAUAAAGAGGCUGUUCUAGAUAAAUUAGCUUGUAAUCGAUCAAAGAUGACAAAUAGAAAAGAAGCACACGUUUUACGGCGAAGGAGGGAUCAUGAGGCGCAAGUAGAAGAGGUGUUGAAUAAUAAUUUUGGAGACAAAGUGAAAGUAGAGCAACUGUUGAAAUUUCGUUAUUCUUAGUUGCCAAACUGUUUUUUUUUUGUUUUUUUUAUUAUAAUGUACAGUAGAAAUAGCACACCAUUAAAUUUUGUAAUGUACAGUAGAAAUAGCACACAACUCAUUUUAUAUUUUUUAUCUUUAUAAUUGUACAUUUACACUUACUUUGAAUGGAAUACAUUUGUGUCAAUGAAGUUGUUUGAAAAUUAAUUGGCCGGAAAAAUACAAUCACCAACCGAAAAAUGAAAAAUCUAACUCAUAAUAAUAAGUGUAUGACAUAUAUUUGUAAAUAUAAAUUUUAAGUCUAACUGAAGCACUGUAAAUAGUAGCUGAAAAAUAAACAAGUCUAACUGAAGGACAAUAACGACUAGCUGAAAAAU